AAAAUACCCAAUAGUUUAUAGAUUUCAAUAAUUAUAAAGUUGUUUUUUUCUAUGGGUGAAAUGUCUUUUCUUUUCAAUUAGGAAAAAAAAAACUAGACCAAUAUGAAAUCUGAUUAUGGUUUUCACACACACACACACACACACAUAUAUAUAUAUAUAUAUAUAAUUUAAUAUUGUUAUCGGCCUAAACGCGCUUCGUACUUAAAUAUCGUAGAAAAAAAUAUUUAUUUAUUAGUCUUUGUUUGUUCUAUCCAAAUCUAGGUAUAGCAAAAAAAAAUGUAAUUGUUUUUGUAUGUUUUACACAUUUUUUACUUGCCUGUGAUAAAAGCAAUGCCAAAAACAAAAAUAUAUUUAUUAUGAAUGGACUUUUGUGUUUCCUAGAUAGACGGAAUUCCGUUUUCUUCUUUUUCUCGUUAUAGUUGUUUUUGUAACCCUAAGCUAGCAUAGUGUCUAUAUAUUUAAUGACAUAUUGCCAGAUAGGUAGAGGGCUACAUUUAAAAAAAUGAGUCUUAAACUACGAAACCACUGAAAAGUGAAAUUUUGUUACUAAAUCUCCAUUUAUGGUAAAAAAUGUGAGCCCUGAAUCCUUUCAAAUUGACAUUGAAUUGACUUUGCACUUGGCUACUAUAAUCUUUAAAAAAAUUUCUUCUUUGUUUUUAAAUUUAAAAAAACGGCAAAGAAAUGCAACUAUUUGAUAAAGCUCGAAUAUUUAUUUUUUAAUGAUGUGCUUGUGAGAUACAGCUUUUCUAUAUUAUUAACUGCAUCUUAUAGUCUUGGCAUAUCGAACAUGUGUUUUAUUUAUAAGAAAAUAGUUUGACGAGACAGUUUUUUUUUUUCAAACCAAUCAAUCGUACUAAUUAUUUAUAUUUUGACAUCCUGCCCUAUUGAGUAGCAGUUAAUGUUAUUCAAUUUUUCAAACACUGAAAUGUGAUAAAACAGAGCAAAACUUGACAGUAUUUUACUCUUGUUUGUUGUUCCGUUUUCAACUUAGGUUUAUAAACCAAGACUUUAAUAUUCUGUUUCACUUCCUCAGUCGGAUGAUCUCUAUGUGACAUGUGCUUUGGGCUAUCUUCACGAUAUAUUCGAAUCUAUUUUUUAAAAAAAGACGCUACAGAAAGGCGACUAGGAAAACUAUUUGUUGCUUAGUACAUAACGAUUUUAAUAAUAAUAAUAAUAAAGCUUG